rnacentral:rRNA from 1 species
GAUGAACGCUGGCGGCGUGCCUAAUACAUGCAAGUCGAGCGAACAGACGAGGAGCUUGCUCCUCUGACGUUAGCGGCGGACGGGUGAGUAACACGUGUAUACCCUACCUAUAAGACUGGGAUAACUUCGGGAAACCGGAGCUAAUACCGGAUAAUAUAUUGAACCGCAUGGUUCAAUAGUGAAAGACGGUUGUGCUGUCACUUAUAGAUGGAUCCGCGCCGCAUUAGCUAGUUGGUAAGGUAACGGCUUACCAAGGCAACGAUGCGUAGCCGACCUGAGAGAGUGAUCGCCCACACGGGAACUGAGACACGGUCAAGACUCCUACGGGAGGCACCAGUAGGGAAUCUUCCGCAAUGGGCGAAAGCCUGACGGAGCAACGCCGCGUGAGAGAUGAAGGUCUUCGGAUCGUAAAACUCUGUUAUUAGGGAAGAACAACUGUGUAAGUAAAUAUGGACGUAUUGACGGUACCUGAUCAGAAAGCCACGGCUAACUACGUG